UGAACCAAUGAGUUUAUUGGGGUUACUUA
rnacentral:piRNA from 2 species